rnacentral:rRNA from 1 species
CCCGCUGAACUUAAGCAUAUCAAUAAGCGGAGGAAAAGAAACUAACAAGGAUUCCCCUAGUAACGGCGAGUGAAGAGGGAAGAGCUCAAAUUUGAAAUCUGGUGGCCUACGGUCAUCCGAGUUGUAAUCUAGAGAAGUGUUUUCCGUGCUGGACCGUGUACAAGUCCUUUGGAACAAGGCGUCAUAGAGGGUGAGAAUCCCGUCUACGACACGGACUACCAGUGCUUUGUGAUACACUCUCAACGAGUCGAGUUGUUUGGGAAUGCAGCUCAAAAUGGGUGGUAAAUUCCAUCUAAAGCUAAAUAUGGGCGAAAGACCGAUAGCGAACAAGUACCGUGAGGGAAAGAUGAAAAGCACUUUGGAAAGAGAGUUAAACAGUACGUGAAAUUGUUGAAAGGGAAACGCUUGAAGUCAGUCGCGUCUUCAGAAAUUCAGCUUGGCUUCUGCCUCGUGUACUUUUCUGUCGGACGGGCCAGCAUCAGUUUUGACCGCCAGAAAAAGGUGAGAGGAAGGUGGCACCUCCGGGUGUGUUAUAGCCUCUUAUCGUAUGUGGCGGUUGGGACUGAGGAUCGCAGCACGCCUUCAUGGCCGGGGUUCGCCCACGUAACGUGCUUAGGAUGCUGGCGUAAUGGCUUUAAGCGACCCGUCUUGAAACACGG